AAUAUUGCACAAUGGGGGAAACCCUGAUGCAGCGACGCCGCGUGAGCGAAGAAGGCCUUCGGGUCGUAAAGUUCUGUCCUAAGGGAAGAAACGGACGGUAACUUAGGAGGAAGCCUCUGCUAACUACGUGCCAGCAGCCGCGGUAAUACGUAGGGGGCGAGCGUUAUCAGGAAUUACUGGGCGUAAAGGGUACGUAGGCGGCUAUAUAAGUCAGGUAUGAAAUACCAGUGCUUAACACUGGAAUUGCAUUUGAAACUGUGUAGCUUGAGGGCAGGAGAGGAAAGUGGAAUUCCUAGUGUAGCGGUGAAAUGCGUAGAGAUUAGGAGGAACACCAGUGGCGAAGGCGACUUUCUGGACUGUAACUGACGCUGAGGUACGAACGCGUGGGUAGCGAACA
rnacentral:rRNA from 1 species